GCCUGUAACUCAGCGGUUAGAGUGCUCGUUUGAUAAGCGAGAGGUCAGUAGUUCAAGUCUACUCAGGCGAA
rnacentral:tRNA from 1 species